GAUGAACGCUAGCGGCAGGCCUAAUACAUGCAAGACGAACGGUAAGUUGAGUAGCAAUACUUAGCCAAGAGUGUCGUACGGGUGCGUAACACGUAUGCAACCUACCCUAUACAGGAGGAUAGCCUAGGGAAACCUGGAUUAACCCUUCAUAGUAUUAUUGGAUGGCAUCAUUUGAUAAUUAAAACUGAGGUGGUAUAGGAUGGGCAUGCGUCUGAUUAGUUAGUUGGCGGGGUAAUGGCCCACCAAGACGAUGAUCAGUAGGGGUUCUGAGAGGAAGAUCCCCCACACUGGCACUGAGAUACGGGCCAGACUCCUACGGGAGGCAGCAGUAGGGAAUAUUGGUCAAUGGAUGCAAGUCUGAACCAGCCAUGCCGCGUGCAGGAAGAAGGCCUUCUGGGUUGUAAACUGCUUUUGCCAGGGGAUAAAAUUUCCAUGCGUGGAAACUGAAGGUACCUGGUGAAUAAGCCACGGCUAACUACGUGCCAGCAGCCGCGGUAU
rnacentral:rRNA from 1 species